rnacentral:rRNA from 1 species
CUUGAUAAAAUAUAAGAGGUCCAGCCUGCCCAGUGACAUAGUUAAACGGCCGCGGUACCCUGACCGUGCGAAGGUAGCAUAAUCACUUGUUCUUUAAAUGGGGACUCGUAUCAACGGCAUCACGAGGGCUUUACUGUCUCCUUUCUCCAAUCAGUGAAACUGAUCUCCCCGUGAAGAAGCGGGGAUGACAAUAUAAGACGAGAAGACCCCAUGGAGCUUUAAACCCAACGACACCCCUCAACCCCCCAACCCAUUAUAGUUGCUACAGCCCUGUUCGUUGGUUUUAGGUUGGGGUGACCGCGGAGUAUAAAUUACCCUCCACGACGAAUGGGACUACCCCCUUACCCAAGAGCUACUCCUCUAAGGAUCAACAGAUUGACGUAAAAUGAUCCAAGCAUUUGAUCAA